rnacentral:lncRNA from 1 species
GCCUUGCAUUUAAUAACCCUCUAGGGCUAAGACAGCUUUGUGUGUAAGUCCACUCGGUGCCAUAUGGCAGUUUCCAAUUCCUUUAGCAACUCAAUUCUAGCUAGACUGCCCGCAAUGAUUCAUUCUUAAAGGAAGACCCCUUGGGGCUCAGUAAUGCCCCCUCCACUUACCUAGCUCCCACCGACCCCGCUCGGCAGGCGGCUCGGGCUCCACAAAGAGCUGUGGGAUUCCCCGCUCCCUCCGGGGCUCCUCUCCCCGCGACGGUCCCCUUCGCCAAUGAUCUGUCGCUGGAAAUCCCCCUCCCCUCCACGGAGAGGAGGGUCUCCCCGGCUGGCUGGAGCUCUUGCCUUUUUUUUUUUUUCCACCCUCUCUUUACAUGCCUGACUCUGGUUCACGAUCUCUAGUAGGAAGGCUCAACGGAGAGGCGGCGGGAGGAAGGAAGCUAAGGCAUCCUUAAAAAGAACAAUAAUCUUCAGAGAUCUUCACCCCCUUCCCCAUCGCGGGUCCCCAUUCCCCUGCCGCCGCCGGCGGCGCCCAGACCAGAGAGGGCUGGGAUAGAAAAGGAAAAAAAAUCGAGCCGGGCUCAGCUCGCCGCGCGGAAGGAGCCGGGAAGGCGAGCGGCUCCAGCCGGGGGAGUUGUCGCUCGCUCGGGCUGCCCGCGGCGCGGCGGCCGGCGGGGGCGCAGGGCGGUGGGUGCUUGGUGGGUGUGUGUCUGUGGCGGAGCCGGGGAGAGGCUGGGCGCGGGAGGCGAGGCGGGGCGCUCGGGGGCGCCAGCUCGGGCGCGCACACCCGCCCGCGGCCACCCCGCCUCGCGCUCCGCCUCCUCCCGCGCUCCGCGCGCCCGCGGACUGGAGCGGCGGCCGUCGCCGCCGCCGCCUUCUCCUCCUCUUCCUGGGCGCCCGCAGCUCUCGAGAGAACUGUGCCAAGUUCCUCCUUGGAGAGGCAGCCAGAUGGACACCCAGAACUUUCCGUAUCUUCGUGUCGAGGAUGAAAAUCUGGUUAAAACAAAUGUAGACGUUGACAAGCACAAUCUACAAAAAGGAGAGAAAAGGAAAAGAAAUAACCUAUUGGUGGUCCUCAAAGGGAUGGAGAAUGAACCACCCCUUGUGUAAUUAUAUAUGACUAUAAAAGCGGGUGCAACCUACGGACUCUGUGAGAAAAGGAACAGCUCUUUACCUGGGUAACAUCAGGUACAAGAUGCCAAUUUCCAUGAAUAAAGGUAAGCAUGAUUUUUAUUCA